UGCGGAUUGAUGUAAUAGUAACAUAAUUGACUCAUGAUCAAUAUAUAAAGGUGCAAUUCCUUUGUCCGCAC
rnacentral:tRNA from 1 species